UACAGAGGGUGCGAGCGUUGAUCGGAAUUACUGGGCGUAAAGCGCGCGUAGGCGGCUUUGCAAGUCGGGUGUGAAAUCCCCAGGCUUAACCUGGGGACUGCAUUCGAGACUGCAUUGCUAGAGUAUGGGAGAGGGAAGUGGAAUUUCCGGUGUAGCGGUGAAAUGCGUAGAUAUCGGAAGGAACAUCAGUGGCGAAAGCGACUUCCUGGACCAAUACUGACGCUCAUGUGCGAAAGCGUGGGGAGCAAACAGG
rnacentral:rRNA from 1 species